GGAUGGACGUAGGCAGGAAAAGGGGGAGACAGAUGAGCAGAGAGACACGGGUGUUAUUGGGAGAUCUGCGCUGUGGAGGAUGUGAAGUUUACAAUAGCUGUUUCCCGGCGCAGCCACUAGAGGGCACUAUUCACCACACCCCCCCAUAGGAACCUCUGUUUGGUUUUGAGCAGGUAUGUCAACAGGAAGUGUGGUGGCAUGAUGACGCUUCUCGACCGCUGCUCUGAGUCAAAGAGAAAAAAAAGGAAGCUGAGGGAGAGGAGGAGGAGGGGGAGGAAGACAGAGGCAGGAGAGCAGAGGAGCGGUGUGGCUCCAAACCACAUCCUCCUUCGCUCGGACUGCGGGCCCCCGUUUCCAUGGCGACUGCACCCCGGAACUGAGCCGGCGUUGGGAUGACGACAGCGGUGCCGGCAAGGCAGGGCCUUCCCAGCAUGCUCGGGUGCAGACAGGAAGCCGAAAGUGCGAUCAGCAGGAGGAUGAAGAGGGACAGAGUAAGACAGAUGACCAGAGGGACGAUGCUGACACUCUUUCUCUCCGUGUCCCACCUUUCGGCGACCCUGCCCCCCUCUCCCUGUCAGCGGGACGUCCCUGGGUGCCCCGAGUCCACAACAGCGCAGGACAGCAGCCUCAGUCUCGGCGCCCCUACGGUCACAGAGCGGGGCGCCCACGCGGCGCGCCCCCCUGCCUCCACACCGGGGGUACCUCCCUACCACAGCCCCCACCCCCCCACCCGCGCCUCCUGGGGGGGCAGCUCCUGCGGGGCGGGGUUCGGGUUCCGCGGGGUGCGCCUGACCUGCCUGGUGACCCUGUGGGCCCUGGGGGUCACGGCGGCCGUGUUCCUGGGGCUCACCGUCUUCCUGUGCGUGCGCCUCUCCGCCCAGCGGCGGGCAGGCAAGUGGCGGCUCCGCGGGCGGGGGCGCGGGGGCGGCCAGCCCACCAGGAGGAGAGGGGACCCCGAGGAGCCCAGCCUGUGGCUGCAGCCCCGGGUCACCCCGGAGCAGAUCGCCGAGUUCUGGUACAGCGCCGGGACGAGAGAGGGGUGCGGCCAGGACAGGGACUGAGAGAGGGGGGGCAGCACGGGGGGCGGCGGCGACCUUUCGUGCAGGACCUUUCAAAGGUCAAAGGUCAGCGAGGGGCGGCUCUUUCAGAAUCGGAGAUCCGGGGCGGUGGCGCGAGGAUGCGAACCCGGGACCUCCUUCUCGAUGAGGAUAACGAACCGGCUGGCCUGGGGGUCUCCGGCUCCAGCCCCCACCUGAUUCGACGACCAAAACUGCGCACCCCUUCUCUGUUAAUACCCCCCAAAAUCAGGAACUGACCCCCUGCACCCCAGUGAUUCUCAACUGGGGGAUGUGGGGGGCACGUCAUUGGAGACUUUGGGUUUUGGGGGGAGCAGCCCCAUCCAGAGACGCGACAGGGAGGAGGUCAGCAGAAGAAAUGGGGGAAAACGGGUUACCCCAGAACAAUAAAACAUUCCCAUCUGGGGCUCCAGUUAAUUGUCAUUAAUUUUAUAAAA
rnacentral:lncRNA from 1 species